UCACCUUCNGCACUGAUGCCAUUGCUCUGA
rnacentral:piRNA from 1 species